UUGAUACAUUAAUAGGUAGAUAGGUUAUCGUGCAUAGGACGAUGUUUGAGUGGAUGCACGUGAAAUAAGUGCAACAGUAUGUUGACUAAACAACCUAGCCCGUUUAUAUUUGCCUAAUAACUGUUUAUAUGUGAGCAUUUUUUCAUUUCGGAUAAGAAAAGUUUCAAUAGUUAGUAGCUAGCCAACCAGCGCAAUGGCACUGGCUAGCCGAACUAGCUACCUUUAUAACAAGGACACCAGGAAAAAGCUAUGGAGGUCCAGAUGAUCUAAACAGGUGGCUGGAGUGGAGGAGAGUGGUGAAAGACAGCAGUGAAAGAGGAUGCAGGAACACACCUUGGAGAAGAAAUGGCCCCACCUCUAUGUCUAGCCACCUCUGUCUAUUACAUUUAUACUUAUUCAUAUCCUUCCCCAAUGACACAAGUUUCUUAAGGGUGUUGGUGAUCUACAAUAUGGACUGAAAUAACUAGUUAUUUUGGGAGGGGAAAAACAACACUUCUUUACUUCAUUAUUUGCUCCAUACCAGACAUUGUGCAUCUAUUCAAACUCUCAUAAAACUAUCAGACGUGAGUGGGACAACUAAAUAACACCAUUGCUAUGUGCAGGCAACCCCAGCAAAUUCUGCCUCAGAUAACUUCCU
ensembl:lncRNA